rnacentral:rRNA from 1 species
ACGGAGGGUGCAAGCGUUAUCCGGAUUUAUUGGGUUUAAAGGGUGCGUAGGCGGUAGAAUAAGUCAGUGGUGAAAAGCUGCAGCUCAACUGUAGUCCUGCCAUUGAAACUGUUUAACUUGAGUAACCAUGAGGUAGGCGGAAUGUGUAGUGUGGAGGUGAAUAGCUUAGAUAUUACGCAGAACACCGAGUGCGUAGGCAGCAUACUAGAGGUUUACUGACGCGAGUGCGCGAAAGCGUGGGGAUGAAACUG